rnacentral:rRNA from 1 species
AAUACACGUGGUACCUGCCAUCAGAGGGGAUACACUUGGAACAGGUGCUAUACGUAUACAAUUGAACCGCAUGGUUUGAUUUGAAAGGCGCUUUCGGGCGUCGCUGAUGGAUGGACCCGCGGUGCAUACUAUUGUGAGGUAACGGUCACCAGGCCACGAUGCNUAGCCGACCUGAGAGGUGAUCGGCCACUUUGGACUGAGACACGGCCCAAUCCUACGGGAGGCACAUAGGGAAUCUUCGGCAUGGACGAAAGUCUGAUCGAGCAACGCCGCGUGAGUGAAGAAGGUUUUCGGAUCGUAAAACUCUGUUGUUAGAGAAGAACCAGGAUGAGAGUAAACUGUUCAUCCCUUGACGGUAUCUAACCAGAAAGCCACGGCUACUACGUGCCACAGCCGCGGUAAUACGUAGUGGCAAGCGUUGUCCGGAUUUAUUGGGCGUAAAGCGAGCGCAGGCGGUUUUCUUAAGUCUGAUGUGAAAGCCCCCGGCUCAACCGGGGAGGGUCAUUGGAAACUGGGAGACUUGAGUGCAGAAAGGAGAGUGGAAUUCCAUGUGUACGCGGUGAAAUGCGUAAGAUNUAUGGAGGAACACCCAGUGGACGA